rnacentral:rRNA from 1 species
UACGGAGGGGGCUAGCGUUGUUCGGAAUUACUGGGCGUAAAGCGCACGUAGGCGGCUUUGCAAGUUAGAGGUGAAAGCCCGGGGCUCAACUCCGGAAUUGCCUUUAAAACUGCAUCGCUAGAAUUGUGGAGAGGUAAGUGGAAUUCCGAGUGUAGAGGUGAAAUUCGUAGAUAUUCGGAAGAACACCAGUGGCGAAGGCGACUUACUUGACACAUAUUGACGCUGAGGUGCGAAAGCGUGGGGAGCAAACAGG